rnacentral:misc_RNA from 1 species
AAAGGCGAAACGUAAUGUGAAUCGCAACUAACAGUGAAUCAUCGAAUCUUUGAACGCAGGCCGCACUUUGCAGUAUCACUCUGUGCUACUGCAAGGUAUUUACAUAUGAGUGUCAGCCCAAUAUAUCUUUGGUUCAUGAGGGGAUCCAUUCAACUUGUGAAUACACAUGUGUCAUGAGACAUAUCUCUUGAAACACUGCUGCAUGUGUCUGGCCUCAUAUGUGAAAGAUUACCCGCUGGAUUUAAGC